UCGGAUAUGGUGUAAUGGCUAACAUUGCCGCCUCUCAUCAAAUUCAGGAUAUGGACCGAUUUCCGCGGCAGCUCGGGGUUCGAUUCCCCGUAUCCGAA